AUGGGGUGACGGGGGUCUCUCUCUCUCUCUCUCGAGUGGUUUAAAAUCCCGUCGUUUCUCCGUCGGGACGGUAAACCGCUUUUUAACGGCACUUCCGGCUCCGAAACGGUGUUUUUCCCCCAAGUCCGCAUAGAUCUACUAAUGGUAAAGAGGUGUAUUCCCUGCUGGUCGGGAGGCGGAGUUUCCGAGAUGUUUGCUUUGAUCUCCAAAGCCACGUGGGUGUUGUUUACGUGCGAGGCGCCUAAUAGGUUAGCGGAUGAAGGGACUCAGGUCAAGGAAAGCUGACAGGUCUGGAUCUCAAACCACCUAGUCCUUGAUGUGUCUCUUGGUACAGUAGCUGGAAAUCAGGUUUGCAUGGGCAGAGUGUCAAAAACGGGACGUGAUGACGUCUGGACGGAGUCUCCUACCAGUUCGCUCGAACCGGAUAUAACCGGCUGAAUACCACCACUGGAUUUGUUACCUUCGUUACAGGUAACGUCAUCAGUGCUGAAGCCUGAGCUACAAAUAUUCUUGUCCAUCAGGAAAAAAAGAAAACAGCUGAUAAGAGGGAAAAGGAGCUGCCGAAGGAACCAGGGAAAGGAAGGCUGUGGCACGCUAAGUUUGCCAUCACGGCCCUAUACAAUUCCAGACAAGUGGCUGCCCCAUCUAAACAGAUACUAUUAAAAUAACAUUAAAACUAAAACGGACGAAUAUUUUGCCAAAGAUUCAGGCGCUGUCCCAUACUGUGCCAUCCAUACGAGACCAGGGGAAAGCUUUCCCCGUUGAACUCCCGCCACCAUUCACUCACCAACGUAGUCUGGAU